UACGUAGGGGGCAAGCGUUGUCCGGAUUUACUGGGCGUAAAGAGCGUGUAGGCGGCCAAACAGGUCCGUUGUGAAAACUGGAGGCUCAACCUCCAGACGUCGACGGAAACCGUGUGGCUAGAGUCCGGAAGAGGAGAGUGGAAUUCCCGGUGUGAGCGGUGAAAUGCGCGAGAUAUCGGGAGGAACGACCGGUGGCGAAGGCGGUUCUCUGGGCCGUGACCUGACGCUGAGGAGCGAAAGCGUGGGGAGCGAACAGG
rnacentral:rRNA from 1 species